ACAGUUAUUUGAAAAUGUCCUCGCUUAUUACACACCGGUGCGGCAUGAACUGAAGUUAGCUUGCUCGGCUUUCUUCUCCCGAAUAACUGUUUCCAUGCCCGCUUUGAGGUUUUCUCAGCGCUCGUGUGCGCGGUAUACCGUGUUGUCAGACGUGGAAUUCGACUAAACAAUGCAAGCCUAUACUAUGUUAGUAUGACUGUACAUGUACCGGUAACAGCAAUAAUUAUUUCUAGCAGCGACAGCAUUAUAGCAACGAAAGCAGCGACAGCAGCAAUGCAGACCAACAUUACAAUACCGGCGAAGCCAGAAGUCAGUUAAACCUAUCGAUAUCUGGUUGAAGUGUGCUGGUCGUAGUCACAUGAACACAAUAAACUGCGAGCCAGCAGCAUGGCUGCAAUCCACGACCGCGAUAAGCCAGUACCUGACCUCAUCUGCUGUCCACCAGUUUCGUGGCGAGCCGUUCCCGGCAACGAAUCCUGCGCCAACGUCACGAUGAACUAUUUCCCCCCUUGCCGAUCUAAGCCUUAUGGGCGGGUGGAGCCAUGGAGCAACCAGUCAAGCAUUAUCACAACGCAAUGAUGUGUGAAGACAAACCAGCAACAACCUGGCAGCCAUUCUGCAAUCAUCAGCAGUCGUGCUAUCAACAUUCAGGGUCUGGCAAUACCAUUGCUUCAGUGGACAUGCCGUUGCUUUGGUGGUGCUGUGCA